rnacentral:rRNA from 1 species
CCCCACUCACCCACUCCCACUCCCCUCGGUCUCCCAGAUCCACCCUCGCGCUUGGUCGCGCCGCCCUCCUUCCCGAGCCGCGCCUUCAUCCUCUCCUCUCCCGCAAACCCAACCCCGGCCCCGCCGCCGAUCUCCACUCCACCAACCCUAGCCCCAACCCCACCGGUGACUUCCUACCCCACUCCUCGACUGCCCAGCGACAUCCUCUACGUCAUACCCGCCGGUGACCUCCGCCUUCGACUCCACCUUCUCCUUCUCUCCAUGCCAAAACCCUAGAUCAAUGCCAUGGCCACCUCGCAGGUGGCGCGCGCAGGAGGAGCCCGUUGAUGGCGACACCGGUUAGAUCUGGUCGUCUGGUCAAGAAGGACGCCAUCGACAAGCCUGAUGCCAUGGCGACCUCGCACACAGCACAGGAGGAAGCCAGACAUGGCGACAACCGUCAGCCUUUCAGACCUCGACGACUUCUGCCCACGAUGGAGGACUGGGGUGUGAUUUUUGCAGGCCUUGGACAAGAUCAGGUUCGAGAGCCUCACGGACAAGAGUAAGCUCGAUGCACAGCCUGACCUCUUCAUCCACAUCAUCCCCGACAAGGCGACCACCACGCUCACGAUCGUCAACAGCGGCAUUGGCAUGACCAAGUCCGACCUCGUCAACAACCUCGGGACCAUCGCGCAUAAGCUAAACUCUGUUGUUUAUGUCUGCCCUGCAUAAGCUAAACUGUGUUAGUUCCAUGAUCAACUUGUAUAUGCAGUCAAAGCCAUCUAAAAUUAUUGCCUUUAUUGUCCAUGUCUUGAUGUGAUUUGUUCUUAAAACGGUUUGCUAGAUAGAUCCAUGCCUUGUAUGUUCUGUGUUCUUUAUUAUACUGUUCUGGCCUAGGGCAAUUAAACAUUGUAUCUGUUUUAUUGUGAUUUGC